rnacentral:rRNA from 1 species
GCCAGACUCCUACGGGAGGCAGCAGUGGGGAAUAUUGCACAAUGGGGGAAACCCUGAUGCAGCGACGCCGCGUGAGUGAAGAAGUAAUUCGUUAUGUAAAGCUCUAUCAGCAGGGAAGAGAAUGACGGUACCUGACUAAGAAGCCCCGGCUAACUACGUGCCAGCAGCCGCGGUAAUACGUAGGGGGCGAGCGUUAUCCGGAUUUACUGGGUGUAAAGGGAGCGUAGACGGUUCUGCAAGUCUGAAGUGAAAGCCCGUGGCUUAACCGCGGAACGGCUUUGGAAACUGUGGAACUGGAGUGCUGGAGAGGCAAGCGGAAUUCCUAGUGUAGCGGUGAAAUGCGUAGAUAUUAGGAGGAACACCAGUGGCGAAG